rnacentral:misc_RNA from 1 species
GGGGAAUUCAUGAGGCUGGUUCUUACGUGCUCUGUCACACGUAUCUGCUUUUUGCAGCCAUGGUGAAGUAGCCCUUUUUUUUCUGAUUGAUUUUCACUCAAAAUCUGAGCCUCUUUUCUGUUUAAAGUUUUGGUUCUACAGUAUGUAGUCUUUUUUUUUCAUCCUUCGUACUAUCAGCACAUAUAGGAAGAGUCCCCUUUGAGAAAUGAAACUUCCUAUGUAUCCAUCUAUACAAUUUCC